AGCAUUUGUGUGUAUGUGUCUUUGUUUAAUUUGUAACAAAGCCUUACCAACAGGUGCAAUCAGCGAAUCCUCUUUGGCAACCCAGAACUCUUUGUUGAGUACGAGUACAUGUAAGAAGGUACAUG